UUUGAGAAGAUAAUUAAGAAGGAGAUUUUAAUGCAUGUUGAACACCAUCUUGACCCCUUCCAGUUUGCCUAUAGAGCAGGGAGAGGUGUGGAGGAUGCUGCUGUCACACUCCUGCAUCUCUUGUAUAAGCAUCUUGAGGCCCCCCACACCCACGCAAGAUUAUUAUUUGCUGACUUUUCAUCGGCAUUCAAUACAAUUCAACCCCUCUUAUUUGCUGACAGGCUCUACAAUCAUUUCAAGCUUGACACUAGUCUGGUCCGCUGGGUGACAGACUUUCUGACUAAUAGGUCACAAUGUGUGAGGGUGAAUCAUGUGUUUUCUGAUGUGCUCUCCUCCUCUACUGCAUCACCCCAGGGUUGCUGCCUCUCUCCCCUUCUGUUCUUUCUGUACACAAAUGAGUGUUGCAGCAAUUUCACGAACAGACACAUCCUGAAGUUUGGUGAUGACACAGUGAUCGUCAGUCUUCUUGUGGGGGCGAGUCAGGCCAUGGACAGGUUGUAGAUGAUUUUGUGGAUUGGUGUGAUGAGUCCUUCCUGUCACUAAAUGUGUCAAAAACUAAAGACAUGAUUAUUGAUUUUAGGAAGUCCUCUUAUAGCUCAUCACCCACUAUCAUUAACCUUAACCCAAUUUCCCUCAGGAUGAAUAAAGUAUUAUCAAUCAAUCAUUAAAACUGCUGAUAUUGGGAUCGUUGAGAGUUAUAAAUAUCUAGGUGUGCUUGACCAUAAAGAAUCUCAUGCUGGCCACUACUAAAAAAGUUCAACAAAGACUGUUCUUUUUAAGGAAAAUGAGAUCUUUUAAUGUCUCAUCCGAGAUGUUGUCUUUGUUUUAUAGAUGUUUUAUCGAAUCUGUGAUGUCUUUUUGUAUCGCUGCCUGGUUUGGUAACCUGACGGUGAAGAAUAAGAAUCGAUUCGGUCUUCUGGUAAAAACUGCUAGCAAAAUUUCAGGGCGCUGGCAAGAUGGACUUUUGGCUAUUUACAAUAAAAAUGUGCUUAUAAAGGUUCAUUCUAUUGUUAAUUGUUUGAACCAUCCACUUCACAGUGAGUUUGAGCUGUUGCCUUUAGUUGCCGUCGUUUUAGAGUACCUGUGAGGAAGACCAAAAGACUCCAGGUAUCUUUUAUCCCUACUGCAUCCUGUCUCCUAAAUAGCAUAUAACCGUCUGGGGAUUUUCUAUUACUAUUAUUGUCGUUUUAUAUUAUUGUUUUGUUUACUUUUUUGUUUACCUUUAUCCGGCUGCUAAACUAAUUUCCCUUUUGGGAAAAUAAAGAAUUUGACAUGAACAGCAGAUUGAAGAUUGGUGUAGUGACCUGUCCUGUAUUUGCAUACAACAAAGGUGUCUCACCACCUAUCCCAAGACCCUCUUCUGGAGCUCUCUCUCCCGUUGUUUGAUGCAUGCUCAAUCAUCCAGGUAAGGGAAACGGAUAGGAACACAGCCGGACCAGCUGGCUGCAAAUCUCUGCAAUCUGCUGCUUACUGCUUAGGCUGCUGCCCCCACGACCCAGCCCAGAAUAAGCAGCAGAAAAUGGAUGGAUGGAAGUUUGUCAGACCAGCUGUGAUAUAAUCUGAUCGGGCUGGCCACCAGAUCUAUCCCUUAGCCGAGGUUCUUCUUCGAGUCGACCCCCUGACCUAUCCUUUACAGGCCUCAGGAUUGGGCCACUUCCAGAGAUGUUGUCCCAGGUGUUUGGAAAUAUUAGCCUCCCUGUGAAUCUGCAUUUGGGUCCUCAUUCACCCCCAACACGAUGAGUAAAAGAAACCCUACAGGCCUGAAGAUUUUUCAUUGAGGAGGGCGACCAGUGACCUUGUGAUCCAGAGUGAUGUCAUCCCAUGAGGACACAGAGCAUGUCUCAGUGUGGUGUGAAUGUAGUCCUGCAGGGCCUCACUGGCGUCCUCACUUCACCUCCUCCAAGACUUGGUGGCAAGACUGACACUAUGGCUCAGCAACUGUCAUUGUACCUAAAGAAAAUAAACUUCCUCAAAUAGCA
ensembl:lncRNA